ACUCUAUGGUUUCCCUUCAGAUGAAUAAAUCUCUCGCCUUUUAUUAAAGAUUUCCAUGGAGGAGAACACUAAAUGAGUCUAACAAAUUUUUCAUAGUAUACAGUCAAAUGGCAGUGUA